rnacentral:rRNA from 1 species
ACAAGGUUUCCGUAGGUGAACCUGCGGAAGGAUCAAUUGUCAAACGUCAUACUUCAAAAUGACCUGUGAACAUGUACUCACAAUCUAGGGUUGAAGAAAUAGGCUCAUACCUGUGACUUUUAUGCCCUGCUAAUAGGUAUUUAUGUGGCCUCCUAAUGAGGCCUUAUAGAUAUUUUGUUGGCACCAAAACAAACCCCGGCACGGAAUGUGCCAAGGAAAAUAAAACAUAUGAAGGGUGUGGCCCGUGGUGUUCUCUUUUUAGUGUACACUCGGGCUUUCUAUCUUUCAAAAUCACAAACGACUCUCGGCAACGGAUAUCUUGGCUCACGCAUCGAUGAAGAACGUAGCAAAAUGCGAUACUUGGUGUGAAUUGCAGAAUCCCGUGAACCAUCGAGUUUUUGAACGCAAGUUGCGCCCGAAGCCAUUUGGUCGAGGGCACGUCUGCCUGGGCGUCACGCAUGUCGUUGCCCCCCACCAUGCCUUGUCAAAUAGCGGGCAUGUUGUUUGGGGCGGAGAAUGGUCUCCCAUGCCCAUGGUGUGGUUGGCCUAAAUAGAAGUCCUCUUCGAUUGAUGCACGACUAUUGGUGGUUGAAAUAACCUUUGCUUGGAGUCGUGUCACAAGUCGUAAGUAAAAUACUUCAUGAAAGACCCUAACGCAUUGUCUUAUGUUGACGCUUCGAACGCGACCCCAGGUCAGGCGGGACUACCCGCUGAGUUUAAGCA